rnacentral:rRNA from 1 species
UACAGAGGGUGCGAGCGUUGUUCGGAAUCACUGGGCGUAAAGGGCGCGUAGGCGGCCGAUCAAGUCGGGGGUGAAAGCCUGUGGCUUAACCACAGAAUGGCCUUCGAUACUGUUUGGCUUGAGACCGGAAGAGGUUAGUGGAACUGCGAGUGUAGAGGUGAAAUUCGUAGAUAUUCGCAAGAACACCAGUGGCGAAGGCGACUCGCUGGACAAGUAUUGACGCUGAGGUGCGAAAGCGUGGGGAGCAAACAGG